CUACGGAGGGUGCAAGCGUUACUCGGAAUCACUGGGCGUAAAGCGCGCGCAGGCGGCCCGAUAAGUUGGAUGUGAAAGCCUACGGCUCAACCGUAGAACUGCAUCCAAAACUGUCGGGCUAGAGUCUGGGAGGGGAAGAUGGAAUUAGUUGUGUAGGGGUAAAAUCCGUAGAGAUAACUAGGAAUACCAAAAGCGAAGGCGAUCUUCUGGAACAGUACUGACGCUGAGGCGCGAAAGCGUGGGGAGCAAACAGGAUUAGAAACCCCCAGUAGUCC
rnacentral:rRNA from 1 species